AACUCGUAGAUAUGGACCUCACCUUGAGCAACUUUGCAUCAACUCUCAAGGAUUUGUUUGCUUAUUUUUCUACUUUUUCCCCCACCUGUUCUCAACAAAUUCAUAAGUGUUUGGUGUUAUCCCUUAAGUUCCCAGCUUUAAUUAUUAACGUCCCAUUCUUUUUUCUUUGUUAAUUGUUAACUUCCCAGUAGGAGGGCUUGAAGCUAUCUAGUAGAGACCCUCAGUUAAGAUUUAACUUUUAAGAUGAACAAAAAAUUGGCCAUGCGCUGCAGUCUUAACAGUCUGAUCUAAACUAAUAGUGUAAAUUAGAAAAUUGGCCAUGCACUACAGUCUCAUAAAAAAUAUGUUAUUUGAAGUUCUCUGUUUUCAUCCUUUACUAGUGAGUUCCUCUUUCUUUCUUUCUUUUUUCUUUUUUUUUUUUUCCAAAUAUGUAGAGUUUAGACGCUUCCUUAGCCAUUUUGGGCUUGAGUUUUAUAAUUUUUCUUUGACUUGAUUUCAUAACAAGCGUGAAUAAUUUAACAGGAGAUGCCUCAAAAGGGAAAUGUUGCACAAUAGCUCUUGAGAACCUUCAAGUUGAAUCCUUUCGAGUGUUUAAGCUUCUGUGGUUUUGAUGUGUUGUACAGAGAAGGAAAAGCCAGAUUGGUGCUAAAACUAUGCACACUGGAGGAAACAAGAAAAUGAGACUACUUAGAUUAGAAUCUUGGAUUUUGGAAUAUUGGAUUUUGUAAUGAAUAUUAUGAGACUACUUAGAUUGUAAUAAGCUGCUUUGUAAUGUUGUAUCUAAUUAGAAUGAAUAUUAUGACUCAAUAUUUUACUAGAUGACUUAAUCCAAGGAUGAUUAUUUGAUGGCA